GUAGGUGAACCUGCGGAAGGAUCAUUAACACGAAUUUUAUCCAAUAUCAAACUAAACGCGAACUUUUCCCCUCCCUAUCUCAAGUACAUCGUACUCGAUUUAGGCUAACCUUUUUUAUAUCAAAUUUUUAACACCUUUAAUUUUAUAAGUCUCAGGCUAACGCCUUGACUAACUAACUAAAAAUUUUACUUAAGAUGCCAACCUUUGUUGUCACUUAAUUAAUAUUUUUUCUUUACGAAAUAAAUAUUAGUAUAUAAGAACAACUCUUAGCAAUGGAUAUCUUGGUUCUC
rnacentral:misc_RNA from 1 species